rnacentral:rRNA from 1 species
ACGAACGCUGGCGGCGUGCUUAACACAUGCAAGUCGAACGGAAAGGCCCUGCUUUUGUGGGGUGCUCGAGCGGCGAACGGGUGGGUAACACGUGAGUAACCUGCCCUUGACUUUGGGAUAACUUCAGGAAACUGGGGCUAAUACCGGAUAGGAGCUCCUGCUGCAUGGUGGGGGUUGGAAAGUUUCGGCGGUUGGGGAUGGAUUCGCGGCUUAUCAGCUUGUUGGUGGGGUAGUGGCUUACCAAGGCUUUGACGGGUAGCCGGCCUGAGAGGGUGACCGGCGACAUUGGGACUGAGAUAGGGCCCAGACUCCGACGGGAGGCAGCAGUGGGAAAUAGUGCAAAAUGGGCGGAAGCCUGAUGCAGCAACGCCGCGUGCGGGAUGACGACGUGCGAGUUGUAAACCGCUUUCGCCUAUAACGGAGCGUGAGUGACGGUAAUGGGUAAAGAAACACCGGCUAACUACGUG